rnacentral:lncRNA from 1 species
GAGGCAGGUUCUUAGGGUCAUCAGGACUUCCACAUAAAAGAGUCAGCACACAAUUGGCUUUCUGGCCAUUUCAGGUGGAUGUAGGUAGGGAGCAAGGCAAAAAGGCCGGCUGACUCCAUUACACUUGUUAUUGGAACCAAAUCCCAGACCCUAAGGAGGCUUCUCAAUGACUAAAGUUUUCCUCUAAAUGCUCAUCUCCCACUCUCCUUUUAUGUGACGAAAAGUUUCUUAUCAUUAAUACUUUUAAAAGGGAGGCCCACCUUUAGAGCUCCACUUUAUCAUCAAAAAUUGUUAGAUCUCACACCAACCAUCGACAUCAUGAAGACCGUCGAAUGCCGAUCCGAUGAUGGCCAUAGCUCAGCUCGAUAUCUCUCUCUGUCCCCUCUUUGCUUCUCUCUUUAAGAAUCUCUCCCCUUCUUUCCCUUGUGUUGAGGUGACUAAAGGAAGGCAUGGCAAGAUAGCGAAAGGGACAACCUUCUAUCUCAUG